rnacentral:rRNA from 1 species
UGAUCAGCCUCCCGCGUGUAUGAUGAAGGCCUUCGGGUUGUAAAGUACUUUUGGCAGAGAAGAAAGGGUAUCUCCUAAUACGAGAUACUGCUGACGGUAUCUGCAGAAUAAGCACCGGCUAACUACGUGCCAGC